GAGGAUUUAGCUCAGUGGUAGAGCACUUGCCUAGAAAAGUGCAAGGCCCUGGGUUCAGUCCUCA
rnacentral:tRNA from 1 species